rnacentral:rRNA from 1 species
UACAGAGGUCCCAAGCGUUGUUCGGAUUCAUUGGGCGUAAAGGGUGCGUAGGUGGCGUCGUAAGUCGGGUGUGAAAUCUCGGGGCUUAACUCCGAAACUGCAUUCGAUACUGCGGUGCUUGAGGACUGGAGAGGAGACUGGAAUUCAUGGUGUAGCAGUGAAAUGCGUAGAGAUCAUGGGGAAGACCAGUGGCGAAGGCGGGUCUCUGGACAGUUCCUGACACUGAGACACGAAGGCCAGGGGAGCAAACGGG